GAUGAACGCUAGCGGCAGGCCUAACACAUGCAAGUCGAGGGAGAAGCCCUUCGGGGCAGAAACCGGCGCACGGGUGCGUAACGCGUAUGCAACCUACCUUUCACAGGGGGAUAGCCCGAAGAAAUUUGGAUUAAUACCCCAUAAUAUUAUUGGAUGGCAUCAUUUGAUAAUUAAAAUUACGAUGGUGAAAGAUGGGCAUGCGUCCUAUUAGCUAGUUGGAGUGGUAACGGCACCCCAAGGCUACGAUAGGUAGGGGUCCUGAGAGGGAGAUCCCCCACACUGGUACUGAGACAGGGACCAGACUCCUACGGGAGGCAGCAGUGAGGAAUAUUGGUCAAUGGUCGGAAGACUGAACCAGCCAUGCCGCGUGCAGGAAGAAUGCCUUAUGGGUUGUAAACUGCUUUUAUAUGGGAAGAAUAAGGAGUACGUGUACUUUGAUGACGGUACCA
rnacentral:rRNA from 1 species